CCCUUAGAUGUUCUGGGCCGCACGCGUGCUACACUGAGUGGAUCAGCGGGUCAGGUUGCGCGAAAGCGUUUCCUAAUCUUUAAAUCCGCUCGUGAUGGGGAUUGACGGUUGCAAUUUUCUGUCAUGAACGAGGAGUACCUUGUAAGCGCGGGUCAUCAUCCCGCGCUGAAUACGUCCCUGCCCUUUGUACACACCGCCCGUCGCACCUACCGAUUGGAUGGUCCGGUGAAGCCUCGGGAUUGUGGUUCUUGCCGCUUUAUUGUGGCGUGACCGCGAGAACUUGUCUAAACCUUAUCAUCUAGAGGAAGGUGAAGUCGUAACA
rnacentral:rRNA from 1 species